rnacentral:rRNA from 1 species
GCGACGAAGCGGCGCCGCGUGUGGGAAGAAGGCCUUCGGGUUGUAAACCACUGUCAGGAGUUAAGAAAUGUAAGGGUGCUAAUAGUAUCCUUACUUGACUAAGGCUCCAGAGGAAGCCACGGCUAACUCUGUGCCAGCAGCCGCGGUAAUACAGAGGUGGCAAGCGUUGUUCGGAAUUAUUGGGCGUAAAGAGCACGUAGGCGGUUCUGCAAGUCGGCUGUGAAAGCCUUUCGCUCAACGGAAGAACAGCAGUUGAUACUACAGGACUAGAGUGCGGGAGGGGAGAGUGGAACUUCUGGUGGAGCGGUGAAAUGCGUAGAUAUCAGAAGGAACGCCGGCGGCGAAAGCGACUCUCUGGCCCGUAACUGACGCUGAGUGUGCGAAAGCUAGGGGAGCAAACGGGAUUAGAUACCCCAGUAGUCCUAGCCGUAAACGAU